rnacentral:rRNA from 1 species
UACAGAGGGUGCGGGCGUUGUCCGGAAUCACUGGGCGUAAAGGGCGCGUAGGCGGCUUGAUAAGCGUGCGGUGAAAGCCCGGGGCUCAACCCCGGGUCGGCCGUGCGAACUGUCGAGCUGGAGCACUGUAGAGGCAGGUGGAAUUCCGGGUGUAGCGGUGGAAUGCGUAGAGAUCCGGAAGAACACCGGUGGCGAAGGCGGCCUGCUGGGCAGUGGCUGACGCUGAGGCGCGACAGCGUGGGGAGCAAACAGG